rnacentral:rRNA from 1 species
UACGUAGGGUGCAAGCGUUAAUCGGAAUUACUGGGCGUAAAGCGUGCGCAGGCGGCUAUGCAAGACAGAUGUGAAAUCCCCAGGCUCAACCUGGGAACUGCAUUUGUGACUGCAUGGCUAGAGUACGGUAGAGGGGGAUGGAAUUCCGCGUGUAGCAGUGAAAUGCGUAGAUAUGCGGAGGAACACCGAUGGCGAAGGCAAUCCCCUGGACCUGUACUGACGCUCAUGCACGAAAGCGUGGGGAGCAAACAGG